GGGGGCGUACCGGUUUCGACGGGGACGCUGAAGCAGGAAUAGCGGGCGGUGGCGCCUGGCCACCUUAAAACGGGCAUUCUUUAUAAAUUAAAGAACAACUACGAAUACUCUUACGCUGCCUAAUUAAAGGCGGCCGUCUGACCGGGAAGGGCCACGAGCCCGGAUCAGGCGUCGUUUAGUGGCGGACGUGCGUGCGGUAAGCUUUGCCCGCACCAUGCAUCAUGAAGCUUACCCGACCCCAAGGCGUGACGGCUUGCCGGGGGGAAGGGGAACCGGGAGAGCAAGACUCCCAGGAUAACCGUCUGCGCCCGGAGAAGUUUUUGUGGAUGUGUUUUCGGACGGGGGUUCAACUCCCCCCGCCUCCACCA
rnacentral:tmRNA from 2 species